GAUGAACGCUGACAGAAUGCUUAACACAUGCAAGUCUACCAAGAAUCACUUCGGUGAGGAAUGGUGGCGGACGGGUGAGUAACGCGUAAAUAAUCUGCCCUUUAGACUGGGAUAUCCUUUGGAAACGAAGGUUAAUACCGGAUAUUAUGAGAUGGACGCAUGUUCAACUUAUGAAAGCUAAAUGCACUAGAGGAGGAGUUUGCGUCCCAUUAGCUAGUUGGUGAGGUAAAGGCUCACCAAGGCCACGAUGGGUAGCCGGCCUGAGAGGGUGAACGGCCAAAAGGGAACUGAGACACGGUCCGUACUCCUACGGGAGGCAGCAGUGGGGAAUAUUGGACAAUGGACCAAAAGUCUGAUCCAGCAAUUCUGUGUGCACGAUGAAGGUCUUCGGAUUGUAAAGUGCUUUCAGUAGGGAAGAAAAAAAUGACGGUACCUACAGAAGAAGCGACGGCUAAAUAUGUGCCAGCAGCCGCGGUAA
rnacentral:rRNA from 1 species